rnacentral:rRNA from 1 species
AGGCUCAGGACGAACGCUGGCGGCGUGCUUAACACAUGCAAGUCGAACGAUGAUGCCCAGCUUGCUGGGCGGAUUAGUGGCGAACGGGUGAGUAAUACGUGAGUAACCUGCCCUUGACUCUGGGAUAAGCCUGGGAAACUGGGUCUAAUACUGGAUACUACCUCUUGCCGCAUGGUGGGUGGUGGAAAGGGUUUUACUGGUUUUGGAUGGGCUCACGGCCUAUCAGCUUGUUGGUGGGGUAAUGGCUCACCAAGGCGACGACGGGUAGCCGGCCUGAGAGGGUGACCGGCCACACUGGGACUGAGACACGGCCCAGACUCCUACGGGAGGCAGCAGUGGGGAAUAUUGCACAAUGGGCGGAAGCCUGAUGCAGCGACGCCGCGUGAGGGAUGACGGCCUUCGGGUUGUAAACCUCUUUCAGUAGGGAAGAAGCGAGAGUGACGGUACCUGCAGAAGAAGCGCCGGCUAACUACGUGCCAGCAGCCGCGGUAAUACGUAGGGCGCAAGCGUUGUCCGGAAUUAUUGGGCGUAAAGAGCUCGUAGGCGGUUUGUCGCGUCUGCUGUGAAAGCCCGGGGCUCAACCCCGGGUCUGCAGUGGGUACGGGCAGACUAGAGUGCAGUAGGGGAGACUGGAAUUCCUGGUGUAGCGGUGAAAUGCGCAGAUAUCAGGAGGAACACCGAUGGCGAAGGCAGGUCUCUGGGCUGUUACUGACGCUGAGGAGCGAAAGCAUGGGGAGCGAACAGGAUUAGAUACCCUGGUAGUCCAUGCCGUAAACGUUGGGCACUAGGUGUGGGGGACAUUCCACGUUUUCCGCGCCGUAGCUAACGCAUUAAGUGCCCCGCCUGGGGAGUACGGCCGCAAGGCUAAAACUCAAAGGAAUUGACGGGGGCCCGCACAAGCGGCGGAGCAUGCGGAUUAAUUCGAUGCAACGCGAAGAACCUUACCAAGGCUUGACAUUCACCGGACCGCCCCAGAGAUGGGGUUUCCCUUCGGGGCUGGUGGACAGGUGGUGCAUGGUUGUCGUCAGCUCGUGUCGUGAGAUGUUGGGUUAAGUCCCGCAACGAGCGCAACCCUCGUUCUAUGUUGCCAGCACGUGAUGGUGGGGACUCAUAGGAGACUGCCGGGGUCAACUCGGAGGAAGGUGGGGAUGACGUCAAAUCAUCAUGCCCCUUAUGUCUUGGGCUUCACGCAUGCUACAAUGGCCGGUACAAAGGGUUGCGAUACUGUGAGGUGGAGCUAAUCCCAAAAAGCCGGUCUCAGUUCGGAUUGAGGUCUGCAACUCGACCUCAUGAAGUCGGAGUCGCUAGUAAUCGCAGAUCAGCAACGCUGCGGUGAAUACGUUCCCGGGCCUUGUACACACCGCCCGUCAAGUCACGAAAGUUGGUAACACCCGAAGCCGGUGGCCUAACCCCUUGUGGGAGGGAGCCGUCGAAGGUGGGACUGGCGAUUGG